UCGCUUCUCUUAGGGUAAGAGCAAGAGUAAGGUGAAUUGUUGUGUGCUUAGGUGCAGAACAAAGCCAAAGAUAAGAACAAUUAGUUCAUCAAACAACUUUCUUAAGAGGACUGCGCAAAUUUGUCAGCGUUCCAGCCCUCUCAUCUUAGAGGAGCCUGCAUUUCGCACGAUAGCCGAAAGCCGCCUGUCUUGUCAUUCUUCAACACAACUGUCCGCCCGUGGGAUAACUAAUUAGCGUUUGUUUUUGGCGCCAGUCCAGAUGCCUCCACUUUCAUAGCGAAUGUGCACAACUACUUCUUUCGAAAGAAGAAUCUUUCUCCACUAUCACCAUACCCCUACGUGUAUGAGACAUUCCGCGAUUGGCCGAUCAAAAGGAAAAAAUUAUUCGAUAAUAGAAGAUGAUACGUCUGAUGCAAAUAUUAUGAUGAAAGUACUUUCUACUACACCCUCCCGCGUUCGCUUAAGACAAUUAACAAUUUCAUUUUAUUGAGAAGUGAAGAAUUUUCACUUUACAGAAGUGUGCCAAGGAAAACUAAGACAAAGUGAACAUUUUGUUGCAAAAGCUCACCGACUUUCAGCCGUCUCUCUAAUUUCUUACCUUUUGUUACUUAUUUAAUUUUCUACGUCUGCUACGGCUAGAUACAUGAAAAAUGAAGUCCUUGUAGUAAUUUAUACGAGCAUACAUAAAAUUAUUGUAGCUUGGGAUGAAGUGGGAAAAAAAAAUUGGAAAAAAUUAUAGAAGCAGCUAAAUGACAGUAACAAUAGCCAACCAGUAGAAUAACUUGAACUGCUUAGAGGCAUAAGCUACUACCAUACGACUGCAGCAGCCAGAAUCGCAGACUUGCAGAACUUUACAACACGAUUGACUGGCUGCACAAGGCAGCAACUGAAAUGACUUCGAAG